rnacentral:misc_RNA from 1 species
GUGAAUUCGUAGCCUCCGAGGCUCGCAUUCUCUAUCCUUCACACACCUGUGCACCCUUCUGAAGCGGAGAGUUAUUAGGCCGUUCGCCGAGCGCCUCCCUUCGGUUACCACAUCAACCUCAAACCACGUUUACUAGAAUGUGUACCGUCUUGUUGUAACGACAAGCACAAUCCAAUA